GACGAACGCUGGCGGCGUGCUUAACACAUGCAAGUCGAACGAAGUGGCGAACGGGUGAGUAACGCGUAAUCAACCUGCCCUUCAGAGGGGGACAACAGUUGGCAACGACUGCUAAUACCGCAUACUGAAGUAGGGGAUGUCGUCUGCUUAGCUAGUUGGAGGGGUAACCGCCCACCAAGGCGAUGAUAAGUAGACCGGCUGAGAGGAGGAACGGACACAUUGGGAAUGAGACACGGCCCAGACUCCUACGGGAGGCAGCAGUGGGGAAUAUUCCGGAAUGGACGAAAGACUGACGGAGCAACGCCGCGUGAGUGAUGACGGCGUUCGGGUUGUAAAGCUCUGUUAAUCGGGACGCGGUACCGGAAUAGAAAGCCACGGCUAACUACGUGCCAGCAGCCGCGGUAAUUC
rnacentral:rRNA from 1 species